rnacentral:ncRNA from 1 species
CCACAAAAAUGGCCGAUACCCUAUCUUUUGAAGCCUUUACACGGACGCUUUUUGCAUGGCGGGUGAUGUGCCUUACCCCGUUUCAUGUGUCGAGGCAAAGCAGAUUAGACGGCACCCUACAAUUUAUCUGCACGAAAGGCGAAUACCAAUUAUGACAAGU